CGUGAGGUGUUCGGUUAAGUCCGGCAACGAGCGCAACCCACACUGUCAGUUGCUAACGCGUAAUGGCGAGGACUCUGGCGGGACUGCCUGUGCAAGCAGGAGGAAGGCGUGGACGACGUCAAGUCAGUAUGGCCCUUACGACCAGGGCUGCACACGUGCUACAAUGGGUACUACAGAAGGAAGCUAAGCCGCGAGGUGGCGCAAAUCCCGAAAAGUAUCCCCAGUUCGGAUUGGAGUCUGCAACUCGACUCCAUGAAGUCGGAAUCGCUAGUAAAGGCGUAUCAGCUACGACGCCUUGAAUACGUUCCCGGGCCUUGUACACACCGCCCGUCACAUCAUGGGAGCCUACUGCACCCGAAGUCGCUGUCCCAACCCCUUGUGGGAGGGAGGCGCCGAAGGUGUGGU
rnacentral:rRNA from 1 species